AUUCUUCAUUUAGCUGGGUAAAGUCCUGAGCUCUUCUGGAAAAAUGAGCCCAUGGAAAGCAAGACUGGGAGCCUCCAGCAGGAGAAAGCAGGGCAGUGGGGGUGGCUGUGCCCCCCUGCCUCCCAGCCAGUGUUUUUCGAAGAGCAUCCUGAGUGAAUUUGAUUCUCCCUUCUCAGCCUCAGUUUCUUUACCUUGAAAUGGGGCUGAUGAUCCCAUCUUCAGGCAGGAAUAUUUUUCAAAGCACUUUGUGGACCACACAGUCCCUCAUCUCCCUUCUCCUUCCAGGCUGUCAUCAGCUCCUUGAAACUAUACUCUAGCUUCUCCCAGACUCUAAGACAUCCAUUUUCUCAUGAAUUCAUUUGCUGAAAACAUUCCUGGAGCCUGAGCUGUUCCAGAUGCUAAAUGCUGGUGAUUCCACAGCAGACAAAAGAAAAUUCCUGCUUUCAUGGGGCUUCUUGUGAGGACAAUGACACUGGGCCAACACAAAAAUGAAAGUUGAUCAGAGCA
ensembl:lncRNA novel transcript